ensembl:lncRNA
GCAUUCGGGGCAAAGCAGGCUGUAAACAUUUGCUGGUGAAGAGCUGCCUCUUUCUGUGGCUGUGUGAAAAGCCAGACCCACAGUUGUGGAUUGAGUAAUUCUUCUACAGGAUGGAAAAAAGGUACUGCCUGUGAAGCUAGCAAAAACAUAGCAGGUGGUCAAUGUAUCAUGGAUGUCCACUGUUCUAGGAGAUUGUUUCAUUCAUUAAUAUCAACUUCAGUGAUGAGAACAGGAUGUACAAUAUUACUGCAUGAGACAGGGAGAAAGGAGAUGGAAGGGAUGAGGCCUCUGAAGGAAAGGACCAGGCCCGUCUUUGGCUUUUGAUUCAGCAGAUGAGUUUGUUUUCUUUUUGUUCUCUCUCCUGGCUACCCUCCACCCCCUUCUACUUUCAGGACAAUUUCUUUCCCCGAAGCAGACAGAAUUGGAAGGAAAUAAUUGACUGGUAAUGAUUUAUAUCUUGUUCCAGAAUUUCACUGUAACAGGCAUCCUGUAUCAGAAUGCUCUCGGCACAUCAGCUAUUGGAAGUCAAUACCUGGAGCUCUAUGUGCUUUUGUCAAAAUAAGGAGCCAUUUAAACCUUCUUCAAUUCUCUUCGAUGUUUCUGAACUACCACCUGCUUUUCAUUGCAGAUGUGUAUCAUUGCACCUUAUUAUGCUGGAGAACUUGGACAAAUUUUCCUGUAAUUCCUUAGAAAGAUGCCUUUUUACAUCUGGACAUAAUGUGGGGGACAGGAUGAAGACUGGACCCCUUUUCCACUGAAAUGAAGAGAAAGGCUAUGGGUUACACUUGCUAACUGAGCAGUAUAGCUUUUCCCUGUUCUGCCUUACAUAGCCAUUCCCAAUGAAAGACUGUUUUGUAUAAACGCAGGAGAAGGAGGCAGGGACCACAAGUGCUUUAGCCGAAAUUCCUGUCACUAUAGGACAUACUCUUUUUCACAUUAUCACAGAACCACAAAAUGGCUGAGGUUGGAUGGCACACCUAGGUCCAUCUUGUCCAGAACCUGUUCCAGCAGGGACACCCCGAGCAGUGUACCCAGGAUCAUGCCCAGAUGUAUUUUGAAGAUCUCCAAAGAAGUGACCCCACAAAUUUUCUGGGCAAUCUUUUCCACUGCUAUAUUUCUUCCUGAGAUCUUUAUGCCAACCUCAGUGUACCUAACUACUGCAGGUUACUCAAAGCACAAAGCUGGGGGGAGCUGAGCAGAAGAAGAUGCUUGUGUUUGGCCUACUGCCUUCUCGUUCACAGGCUUCAGCGAUACCUUAUGACUGCAAAACAGGCUGCUCUGGGCUCUAUUCAUUUCUAUGCUUUAACAGGGAGGCACCAAAAGAGAAUUUUCACUGUUCUUUGGUUGCAUACUCCAGUGUUGUACUUUACACCAAAAAAAAAAACUGUCCAUGCCUGUCUACUGUGUGCACAAGGACUUUUGGCCUGUUGCCCACUAGUAUGGAAGAAAAAAGUAAGGCCAUAAAAUGCUCUUCUUGUCUUUGGCUAGUAUUAUCACUGAAAAAUAUGCUUCUGCUUUUUUCUUUUCUUUUUUCUUUUUUCUAUUUUCUUUUUUCUAUUUUCUUUUUUUCUAUUUUCUUUUCCUUUUUAAGGUUACAGAGUGAUUUCUGUGUUAUGAUGGAGUCAGUUCACAGUGCUAAGUGCCAGAAUUGUGGUUAAUUAGUAGCCAGUUUAGGAAAUUAUGUUAUCAUUACCUCAUCCUUUCUUAGCUUAGCAGCUUUCUCCUCUUCCACAUCCCCUUUCUGUCCUCUGCAACAUUUUCUACCCAAGGAUAUAAUUUUUCUUAAUGACAUCCAUGUCACACAUAUAAACUCAAAUCUCCUAAACAUACCCAGCACCUUGUCUCUCCGGUAGUUUGAAAUCCCACUUGAAUUAACUUUUUUUUUUUUUUUUUUUUGGAAUGGAUACUAACCAAAGAAAACAGCCAUUCCUCCCCCCCCCCCUCCCCUCCCCCCCCCCCUCCCAAAAAAAAAGAGUUGCUCUAUUCUUUUUUUCACCAUCCUGGUUUUACACUAGCUCUUGCCUAUGCAUCUCCAUACCAGGCUCUGGGGCUGACACUGGGUUGACCUCUGUGCACCCCUUGUUUGUUGUUGAUGUGCAUGCUCACUUUUGCCCUCUGCUACUCUUCCACACGUGAAAAGCAAAGGGGAAAACAUACACAAGGGAGCAAACAAGCACAUCCCCACAACAAGUUGUGGCAGUAUAUAGAGUUAGAAACUACAAGAGAAAAAGGGAUUUUCAACUGGUGCACUCUGUAAUCAGAAAUCUGCUAUUCAGGGCAGAGAAGGAAGGGAAAUGAGAGUUCAGAAAUUGACAACAUGGAUUUACUUGUCUUCUGUUCAGUUUUGCACUAAUCUUGGCUUUGUCCAGACCUAUUAAGCACCUCAGGAUGAAAACCCAGGCUAGAUGCAUGGGAGGAGCAAUUCUCUACCAAGUUUUGGCUCAGAAUGAUAUGAAAAUGUUACUAUCUUCUGUUACUAUCCUUCAAGAUAAAGUCAACUACUUCUGAAUAACAGAUUUAUCAGGGAUGGAGUUAUUUUCUUUCUGUGUCCUCCCCAGCCCCUUGCAGAGACUUGGACCAUCUUGGAGAAGGGUGGCUGAUGUGGAAAUCUCUGGAGCACAAAGCUCUGAGCAAUAUCUGGAGCACAAAGCUGUGAGCUUUGUGAGUUUGCCAAAGCUGAAACCAAAGAUCUGAACUGCUUUCAUUGGUGUGAGACACAUAUUGUAUAAACAGGAACAGAAACAUCAUGGGUUGCUCUUGCUGUGCAAUAUUAAAACAUUCAACCAAAUGUGGAUUUUAUUUUCUUUUUCUAUCUCAUCUUGUUUCUGGUUCCCUUUAUCUUGGUCUCUUGUACAGUGAGUGCGUUUGGCUAAAUUAUCUCUGUUGCCUCAUGUAAAAGGGAUUAGAUCUGGAUUGCAACCUUUAGGAUAGCACCCCAUAUAUUGCCUCUACUUCUUUUCUCCUCCAACAUACACCAGUUUUCUCUUCUCAGCUUUCACACCUUUCAGGCAUUUGCAGAAUGGGUAGGGCUGGCUCACACGUUAGUCAUUUCUUCACCAAACUGAUUAUAUGUUUUUGCAGAUUUUGCCUGCCCUAAAAGCUUCCGCUGCUCUUCUCUGCACCCCUCCCACUAAACAUGGAUAUGAGGGGCCUGGAAAUGCAUGUGAUAAUCCACGCAGUUUUCCCACAGCUCAUGGAGAAGGACUUUUACUUCCCAACAGUUAUCACAAUAUUGAGACUGGCCAAAAUCACCCAGGCUUUUGCCAUAUCACAUUUCAAGGCAGAACUAUCUGUGGCCUCUCAGGCAGUCUUUAGGCUAGGGAAAUAGGUUGUGUUUGAAAGUAAAUAAAUGCGUUACUGAAUUUUAAACAGGACUUUGCACUGAGGAUAAAUCAAGCUUCAAUUCAUAUGAGCUGGCUGUAGUCAACACUAGCAGUGGGGUGUGUGGGAAACUUUAAUGUAUGAAUUUCUUCCAUAUAUUCACCACUAACUCCUGUUGAAAAUUGCAUGAGUUGAAACAUGCUAAAUUUUUUCUAGACAUGUUGUGUCUUUCACUGAACAUCUCCCCAGAUUUGUUCUGACUAAACUCUAUAUUUCAAAGGUUCUUACUGGUAAAUGUGUUUGUUUCUGUUUAGCAAGGAGGAAUCUCCUGUCCCUCUGCUGCUCAGGUAAUGCACCUCUCAGGGCAGUUUUCUGCUGUGUCUCCACUGUCCCUUGUGAUUCAGUGCUACGGAGGCCCCAAAAAGAGGACCUGUGGAACACUGUAGUAGAAGCACAGGACAAUGUUUCCAGGGGUCUCACACCACUCUGCUUCUCCAGGAUGUUACCAUCCAUCCAGAUCCUUCAAACAUCCAUUCUCCUGUAAAUAUUAUCCUAGGCUGGAUGUGGCUCUGGGCAGCCUGGUCUAGUGGUUGGCAACCUGGCCUACAGCAUGGGGGUUGAAACUAGAUGAUCUUUGAGGUCCUUUUCAACCUAGGCCAUUCUAUGAGUAUAUGAUUCUAUGAUUAUGCUUCUGGGGUCCCGUGCUGCCAGGGCUUCAUCCUCGUGGUUUUCGUAGUGUAUUUUAUAAUUUCUCUAUCAUCAAGUAUGUAGUCACCAUCAGAGCAUGAUGGUGAGAGCUGAAGACAGCACUUCAGCUCUAUGGAAGAAGUGACUUUAACCAAGGAGAGAAAGUCUCUUCCCUUGUUUGCUGAGGAGAGAGAAACCAUGGGAAUCUCAGCCAGGCCAGAGGCACAGCAAGGUGCUGUGGGACCCAGGCUGAGAGUCAGCUCCCAAGCGUGACCAGAGCCAGAGGCAGUAUCAUGGCAUGUGGGCAUCUCCUCUGCUGACACACCCAGCUCUACUAUGUCCAACAUGCCCUGAGGACACAGCUGAAUGCCAUAAUGAAUUGCUGGUAUAGAUGCCCUGUGACUAGUCAAAGGUUUGUUUUAAAAAACCUAGUUUGGAAGGUUAGGUUGCCCAGUAAAAUUCAGAUGUUUGUUCCCAUCUUAUUUUGUCCAUAAAGAAAAAGAAAUUGACACAGUUUUUUCACUGCACGUGAACCUUCAUGCUUCCCUGCUUUUCUAUCUGCAGCCUCUCUCCACCAGAAGCUUCAAAUGCUUCGAACUGGCAUCCUGAUGCAAAGCAGAGCUAUUUCUUUUUUUUUCCUAUUCAACACAGGGAUUGCUUCUGAGAGUAGUUAUCUUUUAAGACUUGGAUUCAAGAGAUGCUGCACUGUGGUCUCAGCUUAUUUCUCACACAGCUGGAUGUGUAUCAGGCGUGGUGUGCAUCAGUGCUUUGAACAACACUUGACUCCUCAGAUAGCCACGCUGAAGUCAAAGGCCAUCUUUGCUGAGCGAGGUGUUAUUUCCGGAGGGAAAGACACAUCUGUACACUUGCUCAGACUGUUUUGUUUUGAAUCUCUUAUAAAUAUCCAGCUUCUGGGAUGAGAUUAUUAUCCGAGAAUCUCCUCAUUUUUUUCUUUUUUCUUUUUUCUUUUUUUUCAGCUUAAGUUGUUUUUAAUCUUCAUAGUGGUAUGCAACCUAGAAAAAAAAAAUGACCGUAGCCACAGAAGGUAAAUUAAAAGAUCUUUGAAUUCAGUAUUUUGCCUUAAGACUUCUAGGUAAGCUUUCAAUUUUUUACACCUGACAUCUUCACCUUGCAGACAUACAGCUCUAAGCACUGAUGCCCAGUCACCUCUAAGUGAGUCGAAGGCCUGGGAUUUGCAGUGCUUUGCUCUUUCCUACCCAUGCUCUAAGGGCUGAUUUUAAACGAGUUGAGUUAAAUCAGAGAAAAAUUUCCCCUGCUGGAGACAUUCGUAAUCUGAGGUAAAUGUCUGGACUGUCUUCAUUUCAUUUGUUUAAUUGAACCUCUUGAUAAGAUGCCUGAGUUAGGCUAACAUGGUACAAAGACCCUUAAGUUGCUUCUCUCUAUUUUCCUUAUGUCACCAUUGGUCAAAUGUAAAUGUGACAUAACUUACUUGCCUUUAUCAGCUACUAUUACUGCAAGACAGUUAAAAAAAAGAAAAAGAAAAGAAAAAGAAAAGAAAAAGAAAAAGAAAAAGAAAAAGAAAAAGAAAAAGAAAAAGAAAAAGAAAAAGAAAAAGAAAAAGAAAAAGAAAAAGAAAAAGAAAAAGAAAAAGAAAAAGAAAAAGAAAAAGAGAAGGUGACAUUAAACCAGCUAAAAAAAUCUCAAGAGACCUGUCAAUCAAGAAAGAUAUUUACUGAAGCUUCUAUUGACCCAUAUAUGCUCUUAUCUAGAAACCUUUAUCUUCUAAGACAAUGUUGACUAACAGCUUUUCCCUUACUCUUGUUUCUAUCUUAAAAGAAUAACAAAUAAGCUUAAUUCUUCACAAAAUCUUUAGCAAAUGCCUUUUAAGCCUAACACAAUGGUGGUUAUUUUAAGAAGGACGGCUAAGCACUGCAACACUUUUCUAUUUUUCUGUCUUCGUUUUUCACAUUGGAACACUUAAUCAUAGUUAAUCUUAGCGCACAAGGAAGACACAUUAACUUUGUUUGCACAGGACUGAUAUAAAAGCUUUCAACUCCUCCAUUCCCUUCUUCGUCUCCCUGGUAAGCUGCACCAUUUUAAAUAACAGAUAAAGGAAAUGCUGCAGAUUCAAUGAUACAGUAUAUCCUUGCUCAUAUAACUGCAGGGACUUGACUCUGCAAGCAAAGUUACAGCCUGACAGAUGAGCCAGCCAAAGCUGAGCAUCUGCAAAUCCCAUGGAAGGGUCUGAGCCAAGGAGAAGGGCCCAUCUUAUAAGGGUUUAUGAAAAUAGUUGCUGAGAAGAUGCCAAUGCAGGUAUGAGGAGAGCAACUCCCUGUACAGUAGAGGUGUUCAGACGUCUCCAUUCUCUGCAGACACAAGCAGGCUUCAUUGUCAGUGUUGCAGCCAGUUCCCAACAUUUGUCUGAGUGUCAUUGAAUCAAUCAUAGAAUCAGAAUUUUGAGUUGGAAGAGACCCUUAAAGGCCAUCUAGUCCAACUCCCCUGCACUGAAAAGGGACACCUACAGCUAGAUCAGGUUUCUCAGAGCUCUGUCCAGCCUGAUCUGUUCCCUCUCUGUAUUUUUCUUCAGAGGCUAUAGCAAUGGUUUGCUUAAGAGUCUUGUUUUAAUAGGGUUUUAUUCUCCAAGGAGGUGAAAUUAAGGGCUAAAUCUCAGCUUCACUGAAGUCAGUGAGCCUGAAAUGAAUAGAAUUUCUUUUGGACUGAUUCCGAAUCUCACUGUGGAGGGUAAUGGUAAUUUAAAUGCUUUUUAUGGCCUCUUUACUCUGUCAGAGCAAUAAAAGGGGGCUUAGUCUUUGGCUACACCCAAAAGUUGUCCUGCUUAAUUAUCUUCAAAUAGUAAAACUAAUAAAAACCUUUGCCUGCUCCUUGCCUCCUCCCUCACACCUACCAAAGCAGAUUUGCUGGUACAAAUGUACUGAUGUGCGGCAUGAAGGGAAUUAGGCUACACUGGCUCGGGGGUUUUGGCUGGAAGAAGAUAGCUGUAUGUUAAUUAAUUAAGUUAGAUCUUGCUCCUGGAUUUUUUUGUCUGAUCUUAUGGGUGAUCUGAGGAUGAAUUCUGAGAUGAGGAUGAAUUCUGGCCUAUUGCAGCUGGAUGUACGCUCUGGCCACAUUAUGAUCCCAAAGUGAGAGCAGACAGAGAUGUGUGUAGAGACGUGUGCCUUUGUUUGCAGAGACAAAAAGUCUGGAUGUGUGGCCCAGAGGAAGUGUUAUUGCAAUAGUCCCUAAUGAAGACAUGUGGGAAUCUGGGCUCUGGGAUAUGGCAUAAUGCAUAUCCUUGACUUUCUCUAGGAAAAUCAGUAGGUAUAAAGAAGCAAGGAUUGAAGAUGAGACAUCCCAUGGCAACUUUUGUAGAUGUUAAAACACAAGGAGAUCAUCCUUUGCUGACUCUUGCCAGUUCUGCAUCCUGUUUUGUGUUUGCUAGAAUCUAGUAAAACACAAGGAGUAGGUGUUGUUCCAACAUUUUCCAUCUCCGUUCAGGCAUUUCUGGGAACUAUUCUCAGAGAACAAACUGAAAAACACUGUGCAGUUUUUGUUUAGGAACCAUUUUGUUUCUCUAUGAAGUGCUGUAGUAUAAAUGAAUGUGUAUAUAUAUGCAAACAAAUACAUAAAGAAUAUUUGUUUGGUGGUCAGAAGAAGCAAAGCUGCCCUUGCCCUUUCAUCCUGAGAUGAGAGGACAUUAGAUCAGGCUAAUAACCAGCUAGACUUAUUUUAUUGUUAUUAUUUUAAAUAAAAAUAAAACAAAGAAUGCUUUUUCUUGUUGCUAUGUUUCAGUUGUACUAUUUUAUCAUAACAGCAAUUAGGUACAGGAGACUGGUGCAGCCAGUACACUAAACAGCCAU